UGCAACAAAGCUUGAAUAAUCAUUCGAGUAAAAUACUCAUCCCUACAACGGUUAGACUCAAACAAGAGCUAUGUAAUAGGGUCAAAUUCAUCACUCUGAGAUUAUUCAACCUUUGUCACAUGUUACUUAAAAUAUUCACUUAAUAAGUUACUCACAUCACUUAAGAGUUCCACAAAGCACAAAGAAAGCAUCAUUCGUGUAGUAGCACUCCAAUCCAUAGAAUAACAAAAGAACAUUCAAGCUCCCAUACUACAACUCAUGCUAGGAACUUCCACUCUCACUAGCGAUUGCCUUAUGUGUAACGCCCGCAAAUCUGGGCUAGUCAAAUUAGAGGCAAUAGGGGUCGAAAACGACUUUUCGACAAAAGAUUAUUUAGAAUAAAUAAUCUUAAUCAAGUUGUAGAGUAUGUUACAAGGUUUUCGUACAUAUAAAGAACGCCGAAAACCGAGUUAUAACGAAGAAGUUAUGACCCGUUAAAGUUUCGCGACGGAACCGGCACGAUACCGGGAAGCGUAAAUAGUGAAUUUACGAUAGAGCGAGAUUUAGCCUUAGCGAUCUAAACGAAAGUCGUAGAAUAUGUUAAAAUAAGAACAUCGAUAAAAAGAACGCCCAAAUCUGACUUCGUAUGAGGAAGUUAUGAUUUUUCUAAGAUUUAGCAUAGCAGUGCACAGCCCGAAAUCUGAAUUUUAGAUCGGUCGAUUUUUAGCCGACGGGAUCUAAAUGAAAGUUGGAGUACUCGUAAAUACCAACGCGUGGAUAUAAAGAACGUCGAUAAUAGAGCUCGUAUGCAAAAGUUAUGGACGAAGCUUAGUCCCUACUUUUCGAGCGCGGUGAAAUCGAUACAGUUUUGUAAAUACGAGAUAGAAUGAGAAUUAGCCAACGAGGUCUAAAUGAGAGUUGAAGAUCUCAUUAAUAGGAACUCAACGGUAAAAAGACAGACAAAAAUGGAGCUCGUAUGCGAAAGUUAUGGACGAAGCUUAGUCCCUACUUUUCGAGCGCGGCGAAUUUGAUACAGUUUUGUAAAUCCGAGAUAGAAUGAGAAUUAGCCAACGAGGUCUAAAUGAAAGUUGAAGAUCUCAUUAAUAGGAACUCAACAGUAAAAAGACAGACAAAAACGGAGCUCGUAUGCAAAAGUUACGGACGAAGCUUGGAGACUACUUUACUAUACACUUCCUAUAAAUACAAGGGUGAACUCCUCAUAUUUUCUUCACACCAUAAGCCUUUCUUUCUCUCUCUAACUUCUCUCUAACCUCCCUAAACCCCUCCCAAGUCUAGGGAACCUCCCUAUCACGAGAAGAAAGCCCCGGAGCGCCCGACGGCUCCGAGAAGAAAAGCUUUCGGCUCGGAAACGCUGCUCCAGCGAAGCCCGGUUUUUAAUAAAAACCCGCUGUAAGUGAGCUACGCCUAUAGUAUAUUUAAUAUAGAUUUUAUUUAAUUAUAGUAACAUUGUUAGGACCUUAAAAUAAUUAUUUAGGCUAUUAUUAUGAGUUAUAUUGAGUGUUAUUUAACGCUUAUAUAAUAGUAAUAAUAGCUAGACUAUUAAAUUAGUCUCGUCAAGCGUUAGACUAAACUCUAGUGGUAAUGAUACUAGGUUUCGUCAAGGGAUAAUUGUUUUAAGAGUAACGAAGUGCUGUCCGAGUGCCGACUCACCACCUUUCAGGUGAGUGCAUAGUCCCUUUCAUCUUACACAUAGAUAUGAAGUAUUUUAUAUAAACUACGUGCUAUGUGUGCACAUUAUCUGAAUACUUGCUGUCUAUGCUGGUUGAACGUUUUAUACAUGUUUUAAAGGACUUAAACUGUAUACGUAUUUUAUAUAUACGAAAAUGUUGGGUAUGAGAUGGGUAGAUGAAUGAUGAGAGAUAGAAGAUGACGUGAGUAUACAUUGGCAGCUAUAGACUUAGUGCCUAUGGGACAAACACCGGUAGCUAUGGACUUAGUACCUUUUAGACGUUGGUAGCUAUGGAUUUAGUACCUGUUGGGAAUUGGUAGCUAUGGACUUAGUACCUAUUAGUUAGACGCUGGUAGCUAAGGAUUUAGUACCUGUAGGAAUUGGUAGCUAUGGACUUAGUACCUGUUGAACAUUGGUAGCUAUGGACUUAGUACCUAUUAGAUAAAGACUGGUAGCUAUGGAUUUAGUACCCGAUGAAUAGACUAUAGCAGCUAUGGAAUUAGUGCUUUAUGAACGAACAUUGGCAGCUAUGGAUUUAGUGCCAGUCCCAUAACCCUGGAAGUAAGGGACUUCGGAAUAAACGAAUGCAGGAUAGAUGACUCUUAGGUUAAAUCCUUAAAGAGUAAAGAAGAUAAUGGGGAUGGGUAAUUGGGUUGAUUGUUUGAUUGAACAUAAUAAUUAUAUUAUUGUGGGUUGAAAACCCUAUGUACUCACCAGGUUUCCCAACCUGACCCACUCAGUUUAUGUAUAUCACAGGUGACGAAGUGAAGUGACAUUACACUGAGAGAUUUAAAAGAGAUGUAGAUCACUAGUGUAAAUCAUUGUAAUUCUGUUUAUGCUUAUGUUUCGGUAUUAACGAUGACAUCCCAAACAUUUUAAAAUGAAAUAAAUACGUUUCUUCGAAAAUGUUUUAAUAACGUAUUUACCAUGUUUUUCUGGGAACAAAUUCCGCAACCUUUUUAUAAAAUGAAGUACUCUGAUUUUUAUAAAGCAUAAACAAAAUCGGUCUUUUCUGGCCGUGAUUUUGGGGAUGUCACAGUUGGUAUCAGAGCAUUAGUUUAAGCGAACUAGGAAUAUGGAUUUAUUUCUAGACUUAAACUUAGAAUGCUAAGCGAUGAUUGUGAGGUGUGAGCACUAGCUUAUUUUAGGAAUUGUGCCUAAAAUGCUUUUAUGUGCUAAAUGCUUUGUGCAUGAUAUGUUGUUAAUUGUUCGGAUCUAUGGUCUGUUGCCGACCGGAUCUGGAAACCUUAUGUGUUUAGGAUUCUAAACGUACGACUACGGUAUUAGAACUAGCAUGUAAAUGUUUCGGAGUGAUAAGGAUGAUUUAAACGUCAAGUAAAGGUCUAAAUUCACCUUAUUCGGUGUAUAGAUCGAGAUGGUAAGGACCCGUAGCGGAAACGUAAACGCAAAUGGGAACAGGAACCAACCCCCAGUGGUUCAGCAAAUACCUGUUGUAGAAGAAGUUGCGCCUGAGCCAGUCACCAUGGCUGGAGUUCAAGCCAUGAUUCGGGCUAUGUUGGCUGAACAAAGGGAAGAAAUGAGACGGAUGUUGAAUAGGGACGAACCUACUAUGCCCAUUGAGCAACCCGAACUGAUUCCCGAGCAAUCUGAGGAAGGGAACUACAGCCGCCAAGUGAGUCAAGUUGGGACUCAAGGUGAGCAAAGGGAUGGCCCAGAAGGGAGAAACAACAAGGAUGGGCGGAUGUACAAGAACUUCUUGGGUGCGAAACCACCAAGCCUCUCAGGAAGCCCAAAGCCGGUUGAGGUUAUGGAUUGGAUCUCUGAGAUGGAGAUGGUGUUUGAGAGCUGCAGCUGUAAUGAGAAACAGAAGACUGUCUUUGCAGUAAGACAGCUGAAAACUGGAGUCUUGAGCUGGUGGAAGCUAUUGGCAGAUACGAUGCCACGAGGAGAAGCCUUAAGGAUGUCGUGGGAAGAGUUUUUGGAACAGUUGAAAAUGCAGUACUGCUCGGAGGUAGAUCUGAUAGACCUAAACAACGAGUUUCAGAACCUGAAGAAAGGGAAGAUGAGUGUUGAUGAGUAUGCCACCGCAUUUACCGAGAGGAUGAAGCUAUUUCCCUACUUGGUGCCUACUGAACUCUCCAAGAUUGAUAGGUUUGCUAACGGACUGCCCACUGACUUUGGUCCAAUGGUCAAAAUGGCAACUACCUUAAAAGCAGCUAUUAGGGCAGCUAAGAACGUAGAGGCCCAGAUAAGAGAAAAGGGUCUAGAAAAAGAUAAGGCAGGAGAGAAGCGAAAGUUUGAGGGAUCUUCGAGGUCGAACAAGGAAAGCAAAUUCUCAAAACUCGGAGGAGCAGAUGGAGGUGAAACAAGAUGGUGUGAUAAAUGCAAGAAGAAGCAUGGUGGGAAGUGCAACGAAGAAGUGACUUGUUACAAGUGUGGGAGGACGGGUCACUAUUCCAAAGACUGCACACAUAAUGACAAAGUAUGCUACGGAUGUGGAGGCAAGGGGCACAUGUCCAGAGACUGCCCAAGGAAAAAUAAAGCAGCAAGACCAGAAACGCCACCAAGGCCAAGGGCAUUUCACAUGAUCCUCGACGAAGCAGAGAACCAUGCGAGGAAUCAAGAAUGAGGACUUCUUACCCGAAGAUCGGAUUAUGCAGUAGCCAUAGUUUCGUAUGAUGUAGCCUAGUAGAGGCAUAGUCUAGGGUGAACUUGAACACCUAUGUAAUCGUUUCAAGAAUUAAUAUAAAACCUUCGUUUUGUUAUCUGAUGUGUCGAAUGAUUGUGUGAUUUGCUGCAUGGUGACUUGGGAAACUGCGAGACAAUACUUGGGACGAGUAUGAGUAGGUGUGAAUGGUAGUAGAGGCCUAUACUACCGGAAGCACAGGACUCACACUUGGAUCAGGGAAAGUCACAAGGUUACCAAGAAGCUAGUAAUUGAUUUCGUUUUAUUCAAGUGUGUUGUUACCAUCGUUUCGGUAAUGACUAAGAAGAUUGUUGAUAUUCCGACCCUAGUGGUCAUAUCGAAUCGAGUCCGACUACGAUGAGUAUGUUGUGUGGUUCAGAGAACCAAGUUUGAUGUAGCGUCCGACUUAAACCAAACGGUUGAAAUCAAAGCGAUCAAUAGAAGUAUCGCACUCGUUGUUAAAGAAGUUGGUGGCUAGAAAUGCCUAAUGUUAAAGUGUGAUUAUAUCACAUUAGAACAUGAAGGAAGGCAUAGUCUGUUUUAGAAUUUAACUCUAAGAGACCUAAGUCUAAGUGUUGCAACAUACGAUGAUAGGUCAUUAGAAUAUGACACAUCGAUCUAUAGUAGUAAUAAAAGAACUUAUCUCAAGUCCGUAUCCAGCAAGGAUCGAGAUUGUGACUUGAAGGUCAUAAUUUGGAGUCUAACCUGAGGUAGAGAGCAGGUGCACGAUCGAGUACUCUUACAGUCAAUGAGUUUAAGAGAUAGAAUCGAAGGAAUGUAGAAGUUAUAAUUAUUACCUAGGAUGAAGAGAUGACGUAUGGAGUCAUUAUACGACCCUGUUUCGUUGAUGAUUCCGGGACGUAAUCAUCCUAAGGGGGAGAUAAUUGUAACGCCCGCAAAUCUGGGCUAGUCAAAUUAGAGGCAAUAGGGGUCGAAAACGACUUUUCGACAAAAGAUUAUUUAGAAUAAAUAAUCUUAACCAAGUUGUAGAGUAUGUUACAAGGUUUUCGUACAUAUAAAGAACGCCGAAAACCGAGUUAUAACGAAGAAGUUAUGACCCGUUGAAGUUUCGCGACGGAACCGGCACGAUACCGGGAAGCGUAAAUAGUGAAUUUACGAUAGAGCGAGAUUUAGCCUUAGCGAUCUAAACGAAAGUCGUAGAAUAUGUUAAACUAAGAACAUCGAUAAAAAGAACGCCCAAAUCUGACUUCGUAUGAGGAAGUUAUGAUUUUUCUAAGAUUUAGCAUAGCAGUGCACAGCCCGAAAUCUGAAUUUUAGAUCGGUCGAUUUUUAGCCGACGGGAUCUAAAUGAAAGUUGUAGUACUCGUAAAUACCAACGCGUGGAUAUAAAGAACGUCGAUAAUAGAGCUCGUAUGCAAAAGUUAUGGACGAAGCUUAGUCCCUACUUUUCGAGCGCGGCGAAUUCGAUACAGUUUUGUAAAUACGAGAUAGAAUGAGAAUUAGCCAACGAGGUCUAAAUGAGAGUUGAAGAUCUCAUUAAUAGGAACUCAACGGUAAAAA
rnacentral:lncRNA from 1 species